CAGGAUGAACGCUGGCGGCGUGCCGAAUACAUGCAAGUCGAGCGAACGGACGAGAAGCUUGCUUCUCUGAUGUUAUCGGCGGACGGGUGAGUAACACGUGGAUAACCUACCUAUAAGACUGGGAUAACAUCGGGAAACCGGAGCUAAUACCGGAUAAUAUUUUGAACCUCAUGGUUCAAAAGUGAAAGACGGUCUUGCUGUCACUUAUAGUUGGAUCCGCGCUGCAUUAGCUAGUUGGUAAGGUAACGGCUUAC
rnacentral:rRNA from 1 species